rfam:Brassica napus, WGS project CCCW01000000 data, contig: 29027
GACUCUCGGCAAUGGAUAUCUCGGCUCUCGCAUCGAUGAAGAACGUAGCAAAAUGUGAUACUUGCUGUGAAUUGCGAAUCCCGUGAACCAUCGAGUCUUUGAACGCAAGUUGCGCCCCAAGCCUUUUAGCCGAGGGCACGUCUGCCUGGGUGUCA